rnacentral:lncRNA from 1 species
AAAUAUUGAGCACUUUAGAACAUCUAGAAAUGGUUUUCAAAAAGUGCAUGGAAACUACAUUCCUCAAAAUAGAGUAAAUGAAUUUAGACCACCUAGAAGCUAUUAUCAUCCUAUGAGAAUGCAUAAUCCAAAUGUCAUUUGUCAUUAUUGUAAUAAGAUAGGACAUAUAGCUCCGGUCUGCUUCACUAGACAUAGAAAUCUCACGAUUAAACAAUCACACUACCACUUUGCACCUAACACCCAAGGACCCAAAAUGGCUUGGGUACCAAAAUCUCAUUGAUUUUGUAUGUAGGUAUGCUUGAAGGCAUCAAGUGUACUUUGGUACCUUGAUAGCGGAUGCUCCAAGCACAUGACCGGAGAUGCAUCCAAAUUUUUACAAAU